rnacentral:lncRNA from 1 species
ACCGGUAUUCAUAAACAAAUAGAUUCAUAUUUUAACAAUUAAAUAAACACAUAAACACACCAAAAGAAAAUAUUUUAACAAUUAAAUUAAAUAUUACACAUGCAUCAUCCACAACAUUUGAUUAGAAGUCCAUUAUUUUUUUGCAUAAGUAGCAGAUUUUAUAAAUUAAAGGGGCCUAAUUUGUCUAUAUCCCUAUGUACACUUACAAACCCACUAUACUCUUUUUUCAAUAACCUUGAACAGACAAAACCACUGUAAAAAAGAAGGAACAAAUUAGGUUUUUUACCAAAAUAAUACGAAACUUGAUCGCAUAUCCAUAACGAAAAUAGGGUCUUACCAUAAUAUAAGGAAAGCAGGGUUUCACUUCAGUAAGGUUUUCUCGAAAUAUGAAUAUGUAUUUCACUUGAAGGUGGGUUUUUAGCAACUUGAAAGUACGGUUCAGUGGUGAACUGAUCAAAUGUUCGAUAGAUGGAAAUAUAGUUCGACCAAAAUACGAGAUUUUUCAAUAAUCAAAACACUGAAAGAUCAAUAAAGGUGGGAUAUUUCGAAAUGAAUAACAUGCAAAAUGGGUUCUUUUUUCAUUGGAACAUUUUUCCUAAUGCAACAGUAGUGAAUCUUAGUUAUCUGGUGUUAGAUUGGUUGGAAAAAAAAUCAAGAGCAUGAGAAGGAAUGGGAAUGACAAUGGAUUUCAGAUUGAAGGAAAAAGGGGAAAGGGAAUGGUUAGGGAUUACAGAUCAAAGGUUAUGAAACUUGAUUUAAUUUUUUUGUGUUUUGUUUAUCA